AUGCCGGGGAAGUCAACGCGGGGCUGCGCAUGCCCCGAAGCAGAAGAGGCCGCGACACUGCAAGGUGAGGAGGAACUAAUGAAGACGACGGCUGCAGGGAGCUCCGGCGAGAUGCGGGGGUGGAUCCAGGUGAGGUUGUCGGGCUCCGCGACUGAUGGGCCGAUGGCCUCGAAGAUGCAGAAGGGGCGGGGUCGAAGGAGCCUGAGGAAGAUGGAGGGCGGAGGUGCGGAGACGGAGCCUUGCGGUGGUCGGCCCGUGGCGAAGGCUGGGUGCGCGGUGGCGAAGCUGCGGGCCAGCAUGGUGGCCUCCAUGGCCGGCAGUCGUGCGGGUCGCACGAGGUGA
rnacentral:rRNA from 1 species